GAUCAGAUCGCUGAGUUGGUCUAAGGCGCCAGAUUAAGGCUCUGGUCCGAAAGGGUGUGGGUUCAAAUCUCACUUUGGUCA
rnacentral:tRNA from 1 species